rnacentral:lncRNA from 1 species
GGGGGGGGCUACCUCCAAGGUGCCCAAAGCCCCUCAGCAUCCGUGCGAGGUGAAUAGGGCCACACACACCCUGGUCUCCCGGGAAACCUCGCAGCCCCAUCUCUCCUGCUGUCCUGACCAUGGACCCUCAUGCAGCUGGAAGGACCACACGUGAACCAGCCAUGGGCCCCUCCCCGGGCAGCUGGAGGGACUCACCUCCCUUCCCCCACUGUCCUUCUAGACACCCCAGGCCUCUCUUCCCCCUCAGCUGAGUCAUUCUUUUAUUCAUUUCUUUCACAAGGGUCAUGAUCACAGGCUCAGGCCAGGCCAGCUCCACGUGUAUGAGCUCACAGUCCGAGGGGGGAGGGACGACAAGCACAGGCCUUGACGGUGCAGGGAGGGACGGAUGGGGACCCCCUAACUCAGCCAGAAGCAGCAGAGGGCAGGCAAGGGGGCAGGGAGGCUUUCCACGGGGUGAACCAGGGACAAGCAGAUUGUCACCAGUUUGAGGUGAGGGUGGGGUGAGGAAAAGGAGGGAGUUCCAAGCAAAGUCCAUGUNUUUUUUUUUUUUUUUUUUUUUUUUUUUUGGGGAAAAAAAAAAAAAAAAAAAAAGGAACGCACUGGGGUGGGGGAGGGGUGGUCGUGCGGGUUUGGUCUCAGCAUCCUAAGCUCCCACCCUGAGCCUCUCAGGCUCCCACUGAACAGACAUCCAUCAAACACCUACUACGCACCAGGCACCCUCUGCCCAGCCCUGGCAGAGUGCCCACCCACAGCGGGCACUCCAGGCUCCUGCCUGCUGCAGCAGCUGCGCCUCAGAAAGCAUCCCUGGGCCAGGAAGCUGCAUCUGGGCAUCCUGACAACCAGCUCAACUCAAGCCUUCACACGCGUGUGUGUCGUUACGUGCCAGCAAGAGGCUCCGAGAGCCUGGAAGAUACCAUCAGGGAGACACCGAGAUUUGUGUAGUGUGCAGUGAUUCACAGCCGGAGACAUCCCUCCCCGGGCUACUGCCAAAUUAUCAGCCCCAGCAUCUUCAAUUACGAGGCUUGUCACUCGUCUCCCUCCAUCAGAAGGAAGUGAGUGAGGAGAUUAAUGUCUUUUUAAAAACUGCUUUCAUCCCUUAAAAGGAUUCCUCCACAGAUGCUAUUUGCAUUUCUAAGAGGAAAGCCUCCCCACCCCCUCAGCCAUCUUUGACCACACUGCCUCUUCCACGGCCUUCUCAGAGCUGCGAAGCCAGGCAGGAAGCAAGCUGGAGAGCCUGUCGGCCCAGGUUCAAAUCCCAGCUCAGCCGCUUUCCGGCUGUGGGACCCUGGACCAGUUUUUAACCUUUCCUGUGCCUCAGUUUUCUCGUCUGUAAGACAAGGGGGUAAGCACACCUAUCUCUGGGAUUUCGGGAGGAUUCACUGGGCUAAUACAAGGUAAGCACGCAGUAUAGGGCCUGGUACUGGUACGUGCUGGGUGAGUGUAAGCUGACACGUGUCAUUUGCUAUCAUUAUCCCACGUCCUUACAACUCUAGGGAAUGGAUCCUCCCACUUGCUUUGUUGGCAUUCACUAAUGGUUCUUCUCCGUAUGACAACCCUGAACAGCUAUGCCCAGAGAAUUUAGCCUGCUGCCAGGAACACAGAGGAAAGUUACCGCAGCCCAUGGGAAAAUCAGACGAAACUCUAAGAAUAUGAGACACAAGACACCAUCAGCGGAGAAAGAGUGACACUGGGCGAUCAUGCUGGUGCAGGAAUAUCAGACCAUAAGCCAUGUGGGUUUUGAGGGUUGAAUAGGAGUUUAUCAGCUGACUCUUACCCAGUCCAAGGCAGGUGUUCCAUAAAUAGCUAGGGAUGAAAUGAAGCAGAGGAGAAGAAGGGCAUUCCAGCCCAAGGAAAACUGAGGGUUUACAAGUGUGUUCAAGGGUAGAGAAGGGACAGGACAUGGGUUAACCAGAGUAGGACGUUUAUAGGCAUAAAAGCAGAAAAAUAGGUUGAGGCCAACUUGAGGAAAGGUCUUGAACGCCAUACUUAGGGGUCUUGGCUUUAUUCACAGGCUCUAUAGCGCCAUGUCGGAGAAGACGUUACAGAUCAGCUAGGCUGAGACAGGUGGCUUGAUGUGCAAAGCAGGUGACACAAGACUGAAGACAGCAGACCAGGGACGAGGUCAUGGCAGCCCUGUCCCUGCUCAUUAUCGGAGCCCUGCUCUCCAUUCGCCCGUGAGCUUUCCUCUUGGUUGAGAUGUUCUCAAGUUCAUAUCCCCAGACACCCCACACUCCCAGCUCUUCUGGUUAAGGACGCAGUGCCCACGGCUGCCUGCUCUCAGAAGGAGCCCUCAGCCAAGACAUGUUGCGGAAAUGUUUGCAUCUCCGUGCAGGUCCCCGACCAGCAGACGGGACUGAGGGACAAGUCGCAGCCAUACACUGGAAGCCCUAGCACAGGGCAGGCCAGCCUCUGGAAUGCCAGAGAACUGACUUUUCGGCGCUGAGGGUCUGUGACCCUUGCUUCUCCCUCACCCCUUGUAGGCACCCCCGUCCCCUCGGCUCAGUGCAGUGAUCCUGGCUGAUGGCUUUCUUCUCAAGUGCAGGCUGCGAUGCUCCAUGCGAUCCCCCCCGUGGCUCAAGCUGUGCCCUGACCUCACCGGCCCGCAGAGAUGCUGCCAACACGGCCGACACCACACUGACCAUCUGCCCAGCGGCUGGGGCCACCCCGAGGCAGCUGCCCGAGCAGGCACUAAAAUUAGGUGACCCAUCAGAUCCGGGAAACAGCGAUCACGGGCAGGUGGCCCAAGCUGCCCAGAGGGUCACUCCUGCCAGCCCAGGACCCGAGCCAGAGCAGAACAAGAGCAGCCCAGGGUCCUUUUAUGCCCAGGGAAACUGAGGCCUGGAGAAAAGUAGGAAUCUCUGGAGAGCUGGGAACUUGGAGUGUGGUUUAUUCCCUCAGGCACUGUCCUUGAGGCGGAAAAGUAAUGCAUACCCCCAGCAGAAAGGGGAAACACAUACCGCCAAGAGAUGAGAAUUUGAAAACCACAGUCCCACGACCUGAGCGAACGUCCAUGUAUUCUAGCAUAUUUCCCUCCUUUAGAGACUUUUUACCCAACAGAAAAGACAGUUUACAGGCGAUGUGUAAAAAGUCCC